GAGUUUGAUCGUGGCUCAGAACGAACGCUGGCGGCGUGCCUAACACAUGCAAGUCGAGCGGGAAAGUUCCCUUCGGGGAGCGAGUACAGCGGCGAACGGGUGAGUAACACGUAGGUAACCUACCCUGGAGACUGGGAUAACCUGCCGAAAGGCGGGCUAAUACCAGAUAAGACCACGAGGGCUGCGGCCCUUGGGGAAAAAGAUGGCCUAUGCUUGCAAGCUAUCACUCCGGGAUGGGCCUGCGCGCCAUUAGCUAGUUGGUGAGGUAACGGCUCACCAAGGCUGAGAUGGCUAGCUGGUCUGAGAGGAUGGCCAGCCCACACUGGGACUGAGACACGGCCCAGACUCCUACGGGAGGCAGCAGUGGGGAAUAUUGCGCAAUGGGCGAAAGCCUGACGCAGCGACCGCCGCGUGGGUGAUGAAGGCCUUCGGGUC
rnacentral:rRNA from 1 species